CUCCUUGAAGUUGAGUGGCUUAUGAUUUCUAACUCCUUAAAGUUUAGGAUAAAGUUCUUCAUGUGGCACAUCUCGAACAUCGAGAUCUUCAAGUUUUUCUAAGUGUUGCAUGCCAGCAGGAACAGUCUUGAGGUAGGGGAUCUUGUAUAACUUGAACUUUUUUAGAGAGAGCAAUGCUCCUUUGUCGAUAACAAUUGAAUUCAAGUUAGGCAAGUCUCUAAUGUAUAGUUCCUUUAGAUUUUGAAACCCUCCAUCAUGAAAAUGUAAACUUUCACCUUUAUAAGCAUCGAAGAUUUCAAGCGACAACAAGUUUUGCAUAUUUUCUAAGAACUUUAUUGGAUCAUCACUAAUUAAAGAGGACCAUCGUAACUUCAACUUAACAAGAUUUUGUAAUUGAAGAAUCCAUUCUGGAAACUUCUCCAACACUCCAUGUAGCAUGAGACUUCGAAGCAUAGAUGGAGGUGGAUUCAAAUGCAAAUCAGUGAAAUGAGGACAAUGAAUGCUUAGAUUCUCCAAAUGUUGCAUCUCAUUCAAUGAGGAAGAUAAAGUGCAUAUAUUGUCUUCCAUUACAUGAAACAAGCUCAAUUUCCUUAACCGCUUUAGCUUUCCCAGCUCUAUAAUUAGCUCAAUUCGAUCAUCAAUUCUCACACUACUCAGAGUUUGUAGAGAUUCCAUGCCUCCUAUACCACCCUUCAAUUGAAUCAAAGACAUUCUGAAGCCCAGAAGAUGUUGUAACUUUCUAAGCUUGCUAACCACCUUUGGUAUCUCAUAGCAAUAAAUUCCCAGAUCCAAAGUCUCUAGGCUUUGGAGCAUGCCAAUUGAUUCGGGAAGUUCAAAUAUAGUUCCCGCUCUAUAAUUCUUGAAGCUUAAAUACUUCAAGUGAAUCAAGCUUCCCAAAUUUUCAUGAAGGAUAUUACUCAAUUUAACUUUAGAAUAAACCUCAAACUCAAGCACCUUCAAGCGCCUAUAUUUUGUAAAGAUUCUCCUAGUAAAAUCUUCGCUAAAAAAUUGUGACUCAUUUUUAAAAAGAAAUAGUGAACGAACACGCGAGUUUUCAAUACAUGUCGGAAAAUCAUCGGAAUGGGUUGUUAUUGAUAGGCGUCGAAUAAUUCCAUGUAAAGAUGAAUGACCAUUUUCAUUGAUAUGCUUGCAGAAACUUAAAUCUUCACACUUUUCAAGAAGCAUCACACGUGUUAGAUCAUGAACACAACACCUUCUAGUUUUUCCAUCAAUUCUAACAGAAGAUACUUGCACCAAACUUCUAUGGAUCAAAUCUGUUAAAUAUCCUUCUGCCACUUCUUCCAAAGUAUUCCCACUAUCUUCUUUCACAAAUCCUUCAGCUAUCCAUUGUCGAAUCAGUCUCUUUGAUUGAACUAUGUAAUCUUCUGGAUACAUUCCAAAAUAUAACAAACAUGACUUAAGAUGAAAAGGCAAAUCAUCAUAGCUGAAAGCUAAAAUUUUCUUUAUCCCGGUCAAAUUAGAAUCCUUGUUUAGUUCUAAAGUCAUGUGUUUACAAAAUCUUCGCCACUCAAUUACAUUUUUCUCUUUUGUAGACAAUAGACCGCCAAUGGCAACAAUUGCUAGCGGUAAACCUUUGCAUUUGUUAGCAAUUUCCAAAGAUAUCUCUUUGAGCUCAUUCGGACAACAUCCAUCAAACUCAAAUCGGAAUGUCUUCUUUUUGAACAACUCAAUUGAUUGAUCUUCCGAUAAAGGUUGCAGAUCAUGCACUUUAACAAGAGAUGAUUUAUGACAAUUUGUGGCAACUUCCUUUUUCCUUGUUGUAAUAAAUAUCUUACUCCCCAAUUUAUUAUCAAUACAUGCAUUUCCAAUCUCAUUCCAAAAAUGUAUGUCCCAUACAUCAUCAAACACGAAAACAUACCUCUUUUGUUGCAAGUAGUUUCUUAGCGCAGAAAUCAACGACACUCGAUCCAUUUGAGAGAUAGCUUGUGGAGGAGUAUCCCCUUUUUGAUUGUAAAGCUCAUUCAACAUGCUUCUCAACAACCCUUCUAUAUAGUAUGAUUCUGACACUGUGAUCCAUACACGACAGUCAAAGUGUCCCACUACUUUUUUGUUGUCAAAAACUUUUCUGGCAAGAGUUGUUUUUCCUUGCCCUCCCAUACCUACCACAACAAUGACAGUGCGCUCAGAUCUUCCCUCUAGCAACCAUCCAAUCAAUUCAUUUUUGGGUUCUUCAAAGCCUACAAAUUCAGCUUCAUCAAUGUACUCAGCAUCCCUUCGAGGGUCGUGCCAUUUGUCAUUUUUGCUUCCUCUAAAGCUUCUCGAUCGUUGUUCAGUAAAAGCUUGGAACUGAUAUCUUUCUCUUCUUUCCCUGAUCUCACGAACAGAUGACUUAAUGUCUUGAAUCUGGGACGCUAUUUGAUGGCGUUGGGUAAGAAUUUUGAGUGAGUGAGCUAUCUUACGGAGUAAAGCUAUACAUCCAGGAUCACGAGGCUGCUGUGUCACUUGGAUCAGAUAAUCAUCAAUGACAUCUUCAAUACGAAAAGCUGCUUCCCUAACCUCCCUCACCCAUAUUUUGACUCCUUCGUCAGUGUUGUCUCCUUCAGCUUUUUUAUCAGCAUCCUUAAGAAAAGCUUGAAUGCAUUCAAGUUCAUCUUUAAUGGCUGCAAAUUCUUUGUGAAUACCUCCCAACAGCUUGGCUUCUUCCAUUAACAGCGGAAUCAGUUGGUCAAGAACUAAAGACACGGCAAUUUCUGCCAUUUUAGUUAAGUUGUGGCUAUUUCUUUUGUGCUAUAUGUGAAGAAUACACGGUUUUGCGCAGCUUCUAAUCUCUACAUGAAGGAAGAAAGAAAGAAAAAAGGCAAUUCCAUGCUAUCCACACAAUGAGAAUCCAAGCGUGUCUUUUGGAUAAAUUAGUUAUGCAUAUAUAACAAAAUGAAAUAUAUCAAAAUGAAAUAUUGAAGACAAUCCGUUUUGGUUCGUUAAUUAUUAUUUACUUUUUAAUUAUACAUUUUAGCCAAUAUAUCUGUAUGAUAUUAUUUUUCACUUUGUGUUUAUAAUAAUAAAAUUACAUAAAUAAUAAUUUAGUAAAAUUAUUUAUUUCAUUAAUUUUUUUUAAUCUACAUAAUAUAAAACCAUUACUACAUCUAUUUGUUCAAUAGUUUAAUGGUGACAAUUCCACACAUUAAGCAUAGAGAAAUGAAAAUAUUCGUUUGUACUUACCGAAAAAAUUAUUACUAUUUUAUUAGGAAUAAGUUACUAAUAUUUUAUAAAAAUGCUAAUAAAAGUAACAAUAUUUUACAGGUAUAUAUGUUUUGAUAUCAAUGGUAUUGCAAAAUUUCAAUUCACCAUCCAGCAAAGUGAAAAGAGUUCAUAUAGUCAACCAUUCAAGUAUGCACCUCUGUUCUGUUCCUGUUAUUUAUGCUAAAUUUAAUAUAUCUUGUAUAAAUUUGGAAAGCUGUGCAAUAAGAAUUUAGAGGCUAGCCAUUAAUCUUUUCAGGUAGCAAUGUUGAUAUAUCUAACCACCAUAUAGGACAAGAUAGAUAUUUGAAAGUUUGAUUCCUGGCAGAACAAUUUUUUAUGAGAUUUUACUUACUUUUCAGUCAAAUUCUAAUAGAAACCGAAGGAUUAAUAGAAAAUAAAAAUAAAUUUGGAUUGGGCAAAUCAAAAUGUCGUUGUAUGAUGGAUUUUAUUAUGAAUUGUCUAUCUAACUCUAAUUUCUAUAGCAAUUUUUUCAAGUGAAGUACCAAUAUAAUAGGGAUUUUAUUAUGAGAGUUGUUUUUCCUUGCCCUCCCAUUCCAACCACAAAGAUGACAGUCCGCUCGGCUCUUCGCUCUACCAACAAAUCAAUCAAUCUAUUUUUGGGUGGUUGAAAGCCUACAAUUUCUGCAUCAUCAAUGUAUAAAGUAGCCAUUUGAGGGUCGUGCCAUUUGGCAUUUUGGCUCCCUCUAAAACUGCUUGAUUCCUGCAGAAAACUGCUUGAAUUUGUAUAUCUUUGCUGCCAAAUGUUACCUACCAAUUAACAACAAAUUAUUAUUGAUGUACAUUUAAAAAACAUACAAAAAAUAUGCCAGAAGAAUAGAGAAAAUAGAGAAAAUUAUUUUAGGGAAAACUAUGCUUGUCCUUUGAUUAAUCAUGACAGAACAAAAAAUAUCACCAAGAAUAUAUUUCACCUUUUCUCCCCCUCGAAGUUGGAUGGCAUAUGCUUUGUAACUCCUUAGACCUUAAAGUUUAGGAUAAAAUUCUACGAGUGGCACAUCCCAAACAUUGAGAAUUUCAAGCUUUUCUAAGUUUUGGAUGCCCGCUGGAACUUCCUUGAGGUUUGGAAUACUAGAUAACUGGAACUUUUUUAGAACAUGCAAUGCUCCUUUGUCGAUAAUGAUUGAAUUCAAGUUAGGAAAUUCUUUAAUGUAUAGUUCCUACUUGCUUUAGCUUUUGAAACCCUCCAUCAUGAAAAUGUAAGCUUUCACCUACAUAAGCAUUGUCAAUGAUCGAGAGGGACAACAAAUUUUGCAUAUUUUCUAGAUACUUCAUUGGAUCAUCAGUUGACUGGGAGCGCGUUAACAACAACUCAACAAGAUUUUGGAGGUUGGGAAUCCAUUCUGGCAACUUCUCCAACCUUCCAUGCAGUCAAAGAUUUUGAAGCAUCAUAGGUGGUGGUGAAACCAAAUGCAAAUCAAUGACUUCAUAAUCAAAUUGAAAUCUUGAUUUUGACCCAACAUGUAGUUUCUCCAAGUGUAGCAUCUUAUUCAAUAAGGAAGAUAAAACACUUCCAUGUUCUCUCUUGACACCAACCAAACUCAAUUUCCUUAACUGCCUCAGUUUUUCCAGCUCUCUAAUUAACUCUAUUCCAUCUUUAUCUAUUAUCACUUCACUUAGUGUCUGUAGAGAUUCCAAGCCUCCUAUACCUGCAUUCUUCAAUUGAAACAAAGACAUAUUGAAACCUAAUAGAUGUCGUAGCUUUCGAAGUUUGCUAAUGUCAUUUGGUGUCUCAUAAAAACUGUUCGAAACCCUUAGAUCCAAGUUCAUGUGUUCCUACUAUAAAAGAAUUCUUGAAGCUUAAAUAUUUCAAGUGGAUCAAACAUUCCAAAUUUUCAUGAACCAUAAACAACAUAGCCCAUUCAAAAUCAAGCACCUUCAAACGCCUAUAUUUUGUCAAUAUUUUCCUCACAAAGUAUUUGUGUCUAGACUUUUUGAUUCAUUUCUGAAAAGAAAUAGUGACCGAACAUGCGAGUUUUCAAUAAAUGCCAUAAAAUCACUAGAAUGGACUGCUAUUGAUAGGCGUCGAAUAGUUCCGGUUAAAGAUGAAUCCCCAAACUUUUCAAUGAUCAUCAUACGUAUUAGAUCAUGAACACAACACCUUUUAGUUUUUCCAUCAAUUCUAACCGAAGAAACUUGCACCAAACUUCUAUGGAUCAACUCUGUUUAAUAUCCUUCUGCAACUUCUUCCAAAGUAUUUCCCCUUUCUUCUUUCACAAACCCUUCAGCUAUCCACUGUCGAAUCAAUCUCUUCGAUUCAAUUUUAUAAUCUUCUGGAUAUAUUCCAAAAAUACAAAAAACAUGACGUAAGAUAAAAAGGCACAUCAUCAUAGCUUUAAACCUAAGAAUUUUUUUAUCCCAGACAAAUGGGAAUUCUUAGUUAGCUCUAAAGUCAUAUUUUCACUAAAUCUCAGCCAUUCAAAUGCAUUUUUCUCCUUUGUAGAUAAAAGACCACCAAUGGCCACAAUUGCCAAUGGUAAACCCUUGCAUUUUCUAGCAAUUUCAAAAGAUAUAUUAAUCAGAUCUUUUGGACAACAUACCUCAAAAUCAAACCGGAAAGCUUUCUUAGUGAACAACUCGAAAGAUUGUUCUUCGGUUAAAGAUUGCAUUUCAUGCACUUCAAUAAAAGAAGAUUUCUUACAAUACAUGGCAACAUCCAUAUUUCUUGUUGUAAUAAAUAUCUUGCUCCCAUUUUUAUUAUCACUCACAAUACAUUCAAUUUCAUCCCAAAAACUUAUGGUCCAUACAUCAUCAAACAUGAAAACAUACCUCUUUUGCUGCAAGUAGUUUCUCAACUCAGACAUCAAUGACCCUUGAUCCAUUUCCGAGAUAUCUUGAGAUGGACAGUCCUCUUUUUGUUUGUAAACCUCCUUCAACAUACCUCUCAGCAACCCAUCUAUAUUGUAUGAUUGUGACACUGUGAUCCACACACAGCAUUCAAAGUGUCCCACGACCUCUUUGCUGUUAAAAACAUUUUUGGCCAGAGUGGUUUUUCCUUUGCCCUCCCAUUCCUACCACAGAGAUGACAGUGCGCUCUGCUCUGCUCUUUGCUGUUAAAAAGCCAAAUAUUUUUACUUUCAGCUUCAUCAAUGUAUAAAGCCCCCAUUCGAGGGUCGUGCCUUUUGGCAUUUUGGCUUCCUCUGACAUUUUGGCUUCCUCUGAAGCUGCUUGAUCCUUGUUCAAUAGAAGGCUGGAUUUGAAAGCCAUAUCUUUCACUUCUUUCCUUAAUCUCGCGUACAGCUGACUUGAUAACUUGAAUCUUGGACAGUAUUCGACGCAAGGGAUCAUAGUUUUCAGUUUAUGGAAUAAAGCUACACAUCGUCCUGUAUCACGAGUUUGUUGUCGUCCCUCUUGGAUCAAAUAAUCAUCAAUGAUAUCUUCUACCCAUAUUUUGAUUCCUUCAGUUGCUGCUGAUCUUUUAUCAGCAUCCUUAAGAAAGGCUUUUUAUGCUUUCCAGUUCAUCUUUAAUGUCUGCAAAUUCCUUGUGAAUACCUCUCAAUAGUCACUACAUGCUUUGAAAUAGUCACUACGGCACACUCGAUUUUAAAAUGAAUGUCAUUUUUCUAAAAAGAAAAAUUUAAAAUAAAUCAUUUUCAAUUUUUUAUAUUUUUUUUGUAGAAAUAAUUAUAAUGAGUAUACCAAGUACAAAUCAUUCACACAAUUUACAUUCAUUCUGUUUCCAAGUUAUUCUUAGUCCAUUAUCAAAAUUCCUUACAAUUUUGUUUGUUUUAUUAUAUUUUUCAGUCAUAUAUGUAAUUAAAGAACAUAGAUCUAAUCAAAUAGACAUUGAAUCUGCAAAACAAGUAAUUAUAAAUACCUAUCCAAACCAAUUCAACAAUAAGAAGAAGAAAAAUCUGUGGAAUCUAACAGGUGCUAAGAAAUUUUAACGUGUGACUUUAACAAUAGAAACCACAAUAUUGCAACUGAUUUUGAUUUUAAAAAUUUCAAAACUUAUAAGCCUAACAUACCUCACUGUCUUGAAUAUACAAUCAAAACAACAAUUCAUUCAAAGUAUGCACCUCUGACUCACCAGGAAAUCCAUUCAAACACCCCACUCCCAUGUUUCUGCUAAUUUUUUUCCAAUUUAAGUACCAAUAGAAGUUAAAGUGAAGCAAAAGAUGAAGGCACAAACAUCCCAACUAUGUUAGCGCCUCUACGUUUACAUUCAAACUGCUGAACUUUAUCUAAAUAUUACUAAAUAAAAAAGAAAAAGCUUGGGGGGACUAGACCAAUACCCAAGAUCUAACAAUGCACACCAAAAUGAUUGGUCAACUGCCACAUUAAAAACCUCAUCAAGGAAAACCUAGUGGGAUAAAACUUUGAUGUAGGGAAAAAGAGUGCUAUUUGAUUGCAAGAAAUAAUUAUCUCUUAAAUCUAAACUCAGGAAGACCAAACCUGUUAUGAUUGUAAACUUCAGAAACAUCCUUAGUAACAUAUUCCCACCAAGGGAACCGUUCACAUAAAACUUCACUUAGAAGGAUACAUCACAACCAACUCAAAUCUCAAACAAAGAAAGAAACAAAAGUCAAAAGCAUGAACAUAAAUAAAGAUGACUUCUCAACCCAACCUCUGAAUUUCUCUUCUCGCACAAAAAAAUUCGGAAAACGUUUUCCGAAUUUUUUUUAGGGUAAAUUUCAGUAAAAUUUAUACUAGAAAAAAAAUUCGGAACGUAUUUUUUGAAUUUUUCUGUGUGCUAGGGGGUGAACGAGAAACAUGAUGGGUGGGAUGAGAAUUUUUCAUAAAUAAAGAUGCCAUUGUUGUAGAAGUCCACUUGGAGAAAUCUGACUUUCGAUCGCACUAGAAGCCAACCACCUAUAUAUUAAUAACAAAUUAUUACUAUAGAUAAAAUAGAUAAACUAUUUAGGAUAAAAAUAAUCUUGUAUGUUACUGAAUGAUAAUGAGAACAAAAAAUAUUACCAAGAAUAUAUUAUACAAUUAUAUGGAAGAAAAUGUUCACCUUUUCUCCUCCUUGAAGUUGGGUGGCUUGUGAUUUCUAACUCCUUAAAGUUUAGGAUAAAGUUCUACAUGUGGCACAUCUCGAACAUUGAGAACUUGAAGUUUUUCUAAGUGUUGGAUGCCAGCAGGAACAGUCUUGAGUUUGGGGAUAUAGGAUAACUCUAAUUUUUUUAGAGAUUGCAAUGCUCCUUUGUCGAUAACAAUUGAAUUCAAGUUAGGCAAGAAAAUGAUGUGUAGUUCCUUUAGAUUUUGAAACCCCCCAUCAUGAAAAUGUAAACUUUCACCUUCAUAAGCUCUGUUGACGAUUGAGAGAAACAACAAGUUUUGCAUAUUUUCUAAACACUUCAUUGGAUCAUCUUUUAAGAGGGACAAUUCUAACUUCAACUUAACAAGAUUUUGAUGUUGAAGAAUCCACUCUGGCAACUUCACCAACAGUACUCCACUUAGUUUAAGACUUUGAAGCAUAUAUGGAGGUGAAUCCAAAUGUAAAUCAAUGAAAUGAUAACUACAGUUUCUUACAUUUUUUGUCCCAAUCUUUAGAUUCUCCAAAUGUUGCAUCUCAUUCAAUGAAGAAGAUAAAGUGCUUAUAUGGUCUUCGUUCACAAGAAACAAGCUCAAUUUCCUUAACCGCUUUAGCUUUCCCAGCUCUUUAAUUAGCUCUAUUCCAUCAUCAUCAUCAUCAUCAUCAAUUACCACACUACUCAGAGUUUGUAGAGAUUUCAUGCCUCCUAUACCACCCUUCAAUUGAAACAAAGACAUUCUGAUGCCCAGAAGAUGUCGUAACUUUCUAAGCUUGCUAACCGCCUUUGGUAUUUUAUAGCCUACCUCAUGUCUUAGAAUCAAAGUCUCCAGGUUUUGGAGCAUGGCAAUUGAUUUGGGAAGUUCAAUUCGAGUUUCAGUAGACAGAUUCAUGAAGCUUAAAUACUUCAAGUGAAUCAAGCUUCCCAAAUUUUCAUGAAGGAUAUUACUCAAUUUAACUUCAGAAUAAACUUCAAACUCAAGCACCUUCAAGCGCCUAUAUUGUGUAAAGAUUCUCCUCGUAAAAUCUGCGCACAAAAAUGGUGACUCAUUUUUUAAAAGAAAUAGUGAACGAACACGUGAGUUUUCAAUACAUGUCGGAAAAUCAUCGGAAUGGGUUGUUAUUGAUAGGCGUCGAAUAAUUCCAUGUAAAGAUGAAUGACCAUUUUCAUUGAUAUGCUUGCAGAAACUUAAAUCUUCACACUUUUCAAGAAGCAUCACACGUGUUAGAUCAUGAACACAACAACUUUUAGUUUUUCCAUCAAUUCUAACAGAAGAUACUUGCACCAAACUUCUAUGGAUUAACUCUGUUAAAUAUCCUUCUGCCACUUCUUCCAAAGUAUUCCCACUUUCUUCUUUCACAAAUCCUUCAGCUAUCCAUUGUUGAAUCAGUCUCUUUGAUUGAACUAUGUAAUCUUCUGGAUACAUUCCGAAAUACAACAAACAUGACUUAAGAUGAAAAGGCAAAUCAUCGUAGCUGAGAGCUAAAAUUUUGUUUAUCCCGGCCAAAUGAGAAUCCUUCUUUAGUUCUAAAGUCAUAUUUUCACAAAAUCUUCGCCACUUAAUUACAUUUUUCUCUUUUGUAGACAAUAGACCGCCAAUGGCAACAAUUGCUAGCGGUAAACCCUUGCAUUUUCUAGCAAUUUCGAAAGAUAUAUCAAUGAGCUCUUUUGGGCAACAUCCAUCAAAUUCAAAUCGGAAUGCCUUCUUAUUAAACAACUCAAAAGAUUGUUCUUUUGUUAAAGGUUGCAAUUCAUGCACCUCAAUAAAAGAAGAUUUCUUACAGCAUAAAACAACAUCCAUUUUUCUUGUUGUAAUCAAUAUCUUACUCCCAUUUUUAUUAUCAAUCAAUGCAUUUUCAAUCUCAUCCCAAAAAUGUAUGUUCCAUACAUCAUCAAAUACGAAAACAUACCUCUUCUGUUGCAAGUAGUGUCUAAGCUCAGAAAUCAACGACCCUCGAUCCAUUUGAGAGAUAUCUCGAGGAGGAGAGUCCCCUUUUUGUUUGUAAAGCUCAUUCAACAUGCCUCUCAGCAACCCUUCUAUAUAGUAUGAUUGUGACACUGUGAUCCAUACUCGACAGUCAAAGUGUCUCACUACCUCUUUGAUGUCAAAAACUUUUUUGGCAAGAGUAGUUUUUCCUAUCCCUCCCAUACCUACCACAGAGAUGACAGUGCGCUCAAAUCUUCCCUCUAUCAACCAUCCAAUCAAUCUAUUUUUGGGUGCUUGAAAGCCUACAAUUUCAGCUUCAUCAAUGUACAAAGUAGCCAUUCGAGGAUCGUGCCAUUUGGCAUUUUUGCUUCCUCUAAAGCUCGUCGAUCCUUGUUCAGUAAAAGCUUGGAACCCAUAUCUUUUGCUUCUUUCCUUGAUCACACGAACAUAUGACUUAAUGACUUGAAUCUCAGAUGCUAUUUGAUGACGAGUGGUAAUAACUUUGAGUGAGUGAACAAUUUUACGGAGUAAAGCUACACAUCCAGGAUCACGAGGUUGCUGUCUCACUUGGAUCAGAUAAUCAUCAAUGACAUCUUCAAUACGGAACGCUGCUUCUCGAACCUGCCUCACCCAUGUUUUGACUCCUUCAUUAGUGUUGUCUCCUUCAUCUGUUGCAACUCUUUUAUCGGCAUCCUUAAGAAAGGCUUGAAUGCUUUCAAGUUCAUCUUUAAUGUCUGCAAAUUCUUUGUGAAUACCUCCCAACAGCAUGGCUUCUACCCUUAAUGGUGGAAUCAGUUGGUCAAGAACUAAGGCCACUGUCAUUUCUGCCAUUUUUGUUAAGCUUGUGGGUUGUGGCUAUUUCUUUUUAAUUUGCUAUAUAUAUAUGUGAAGACUACACGGUUUUGCAAUUUCUACACGAAGGAAGAAAGAAAGUAAGAAGGCAAUUCCAUGCUAUCCACACACUGGGAAUCCGUAAAGCGUGUCUUUUGGAUAAAUUAUUACUAGUAAAUUUCAACACAACGACUAUUUCCAAUGAAUACGGAAUAGUACGUAAGUCAAUAAUGGUCUGAAAAAUGCUUUCAAUUUUCAACUGCCAUGUAAUUUUAUUUUCAACUACCAUCUACCCGUAAAAAAAAACAGUACCAUCUACCCGUAUACUAUAUUUAUUUUUUUUAACUAUAGAGGUGACAAUCGAUCUUAUGUAUACUAUUCAAAUAUCUCAUCAGUAAAACAAACCUACUUACUUUGUUUGAUAUGGUUUGUUAAUUAUUAUUUAUUUUCUGAUCAUACAUUUUAACCAAUAUAUGUGUAUAAUAUAUAUUUUUCACUUUGGGUUUAUAAUAAUAAAAAAAAAAAAGUAGAUUACACUCCCUCUCUUUUAAAAGAAAUUUGAAAUACACUUCUCUCUUCUUUUAUAUUAAAAUAUACACUUUAGUCCAUUUUAACAUAAAUUAAUUAAUAUUUCUGUGAUAAUAAUUAACUUUUUUUUUUUACUAAAAUAAAAGAUAUUCAAUGGCGAUCGUUGGAUGAUCUAUGAUUACUAUCUUGCCUUUUGCCAAUGUUCCCCAUCUUUCAACACAGCAACCACAAAAAUCGAUAAGACCAUGGUAUGGAUUAGAGUUCCAAGUUUGAAUCUUGCUCGAGGACGUUUUGCUAGAAUUUGUGUCGAGGUGGGUCUCACUAUGCCAGUGUUGGUGUGUUGGAAUUGACGGAGAAUGGUAUCAAGUACAGUACGAAGGCCUCCAUAUAAUUUGCACACAAUGUGGCUGCUAGGUCAUGUGCUUAAGGACUGUACUAUUAAAAUGAAGAAUGUUCCAAUGGUGGAGAGCGAAAAAUCGCCGGAAUCGCAUGACAGCGAAGGAAUUCAGAAGGGAAUGGAUUAAGGUUGAAAGGAGAAAAAAAAGCAACAAAAAUAGUAUCAACAAAUUUGGUGGAAUAUUCAAAGAUCUUAAAGGCCAUAAUCAACAUGCUAAAGAAAGAAGAUGUGAAUGAGGCAAGUGGUAGUCAUGCACAUGAUAAUAGUGGUGGAAAAAAGAAACGUGUGUGAAAUGAUUCUGGUGGGAAAAGUAACAUGAAGACUAAUGGUAAUCAAAAUAACCAUAGUCCCUCAUAUGUGAUACACACGGGGGGUCACGAUGGGGAAAGGAAAAAAUAAGCCCCCUAAAAAACAUGUGGGGCCCAACAAACCUCUUGUGAAAGUUGGACUAAAGCCAAACACUAAUAUAGUUCUCAAGAAGUGCCGGUUGAUACGAUGCAUGAACAAAAGGUAGACGGACAAUAAGUUGCGCCGUUAAAUCCAAUCUUUGAAAAACUACAUUCAUAGACCUAGGUGACACAACAUUACUAUGCAUGACCUUUUAAACUCUUUUUAAAAGGUUUACAGCCUCUAGUGCUAAAGCCAAAAAUAUCGAAUGAUUCUGAUUUUCUUCAAGAAGCUUCUUUUUAUUGCUUGCAGAUGUGACUUUGGUUUGGAAAUUGAAAUGGGUUGACAUGGUGUUACACCUUCUUUGAUAAGGUUGGUGCUUCGUGCCGAAGCAAAGAUGCAGAAAGUCCUGAUAAAAUGUUUGCUAGCUGUUGUUAAUUUUUGCAGUACAAGUAGGACAGUUGUCGCAGCUAAUGGUGGGUUAGAAAUUAUCAUAAGGUUGUUGAAUUCUUGUAAUAACGAUGUUAGAUUGUAUUUGUUAAAUAUUUUGAGUGUGUUGGCGCUUCUGAUCAGAGAGGUUAGGAAGGAACUCAAUAGAUCAGGAGCCCAUUGUUUUAUUUAUAGAGGCUGCUGGUGUUGGCAGCAAGAUUUCUAGGGGAAGGACGUGUCAAUCGAUUGGUUUUUUUGGUGUUACGAGACAAGCUAGGUACGCUUGUUGAAUUGCGAGUCAUACCGGUGCUUGUGGAGUUGUUUCGCAAUGGAGAUAACCCCAUGAUACUUGUGGCUGGUAAUACUCUUGGUGUGGUUUCGGCUCAUGUUGAAUACAUUAGACUGGUUACUGAAGCUGGGGCUAUACAUCUUUAUGCCUACCUUCUUCAAGGACAUGAUGCUUUUGGUAAGGAGAUAGUGGAGGAUGUGUUUUGUAUAUUGGCUGUUGCAGAGGCGAAUGUGAUUGAAAUUGUUGGUCACUUGGUGAGAAUUCUUACAGAAGGUGAUGAUGAAGCUAAAGCAGCAGGUGCUAAUGUGAUAUGGGAUCUGUCAGGAUACAUGAACGCAACUUCAGUGAUUCGAGAUUCAGUUGUGAUCACUAUCCUUGUUGAGCUUUUGAGCCAUGGGAGUGAAGAAGUAAACGAAAAUGUUUCUGGGGCAUUUGCUCAGCUGAGUUAUAUUGAAGGUGGAUGAAUGGCCCUUGUUGAUGCUGGUGCAGUACCGAUUUUCAUUGACUUGCUACAUGACGAGACCGAGGAACUAAGGGAUAAUGAUGUUGAGAUUCUUUAUAAUUUUUAUGAAGAUCCAUUGUACCAUGCUAGAAUAUCUGGUAUAGUGAAUGUUCCUUCUUUCAGAAAUAUGCAAAACAGACUAUACUAACUAGUAUUCGUGCAUCGAAGGAGCAUAUGACUAAUCUUAAUGUAGAACGAUUGAGCAUAUGACAUCCCGUUAGCGCCUCUGCUCACAUUCAGAUUGCUCAACUUUAACCAAAUAUUAUUAAAAUAAAAAAGAAAAAGCUUGGGGGACUAGACCAAAACCCAAAAUAACAACAAUGCAUACUAAAAUAAUUGGUCAACUGCCUCAUUAAAAACCUCAUCAAGGAAAACCCAGUGGGAUAAAACCUUGAUGUAGGAAAAAAGAGUGCAGUUUGAAUAUAAUAAAUAAUUAUCUCUUACAAUUCUCGAAAGGAAAGCUCUCACAACAUCUUACAUACAUGAUACAUCACAAACAACUCAAAUGUCCAACAAAGAAACAAAAACAUAAAUAAAGAUGCCAUUAUUGUAGAAGUCCACUUGGAGAAAUCUGAAUUUCCAUCGCACUAGAAGCCAACCACCUAAAGAUUAAUAACAAAUUAUUACUAAAGAUCAUUGAGGAGAGAAUGGAAAUGAUUACAACAAAAUAGUUCUUGAGGGUCACAACACAAUAAAAAUAAUAUGAUAAUUAUUGAUGAAGAAUUCAAAAAUNNNNNNNNNNNNNNNNNNNNNNNNNNNNNNNNNGAAUGAUUAUAGAACAAAAAAUAUUACCAAGAAUAUAUUUAUUCAAUUAUAUGGAAUAAAACGAUCACCUUUUCUCCCCCCUUGAAGUUGGAUGGCUUAUGAUUUCUAACUCCUUAAAGUUUAGGAUAAAGUUCUUCAUGUGGCACAUGUGGAACAUUGAGAACUUGAAGUUUUUCUAAGUGUUGGAUGCCAGCAGGAACAGUCUUGAGGUUGGGGAUAUCGUAUAACUUGAACUUUUUUAGAGAUUGCAAUGCUCCUUUUUCAAUUACAAUUGAAUACAAGUUAGUCAAACCAAUGAGGUGUAGUUCCUUUAGAUUUUGAAACCCUCCAUCAUGAAAAUGUAAACUUUCACCUUUA
rnacentral:lncRNA from 1 species